CCGCUCCUGCGGGGGGGCUCGGGCCACCUGACCUUCGUAACCUGCACUCAGGUCAGAGCCCCAGACCCCCCGCGGGCGC
rfam:Herpes simplex virus type 2 (strain HG52), complete genome